GAUGAAGAACGUAGCGAAAUGCGAUACUUGGUGUGAAUUGCAGAAUCCCGUGAACCAUCGAGUCUUUGAACGCAAGUUGCGCCUCAAGCCAUUAGGUUGAGGGCACGUCUGCCUGGGCGUCACAUAUCGUUGCCUGAUGCCAGUUUCCUCGUGAUGGGUGACUGUGCAGGGCGAAUGAUGGCUUCCCGUGAGCAUUGUUGCCUCAUGGUUGGUUGAAAAUUGAGUCCUGGGUAGGGAGCGCCGUGAUAGAUGGUGGUUGAGUGACGAACGAGACCCAAUCAUGUGAGACCCCUACCGAAUUUGGCCUUCAUGACCCACAUGCGUCUUUGGAACGCUCAUGACGAGACCUCAGGUCAGGCGGGGCUACCCGCUGAGUUUAAGCAUAUCAAUAAGCGGAGGA
rnacentral:misc_RNA from 1 species